UACAGAACACCGGGGGGGGGGGGGAGCUUGCUCUCAAACCCUAGUUCAUACAAUUUGAUCAAAUUGAAGACCUAAAUCAGUUCCAAAACGAAAUCCAAGCAUAGAUUAGUGAUCUCCUUAGUAAAGGGAUCAUAAGGAAAGGAAACCGGAACGUCGAGCGGACAAGCCGGUGGUGACGCGCGUUUGAAGUUGUGUACAUUGAAGACGCAUGAAAGGGUAAAUUGAAGAGGCCGACUGAUGAUUGAAACGGUGCCUUUGAAUGCGAAUAUUAACAUCUGAUUAAUGAUGCAAUUGAAAGGUCGUGCUUUAUGGCCCUAGGGAAGAAGUUGUUCCAUUUUAAGAGGUUGAAUCCCGAGGUUCCUGCUCCUCAACUGUUUCGCCUGAAACAGCCCUCUUCAUCUCACCAAAACCCUAAUCGGAUUCGUCAACCACCACAUCUAGUAUUCUUUUGUCACCAUCCUUUGUGCGAUCAUGAUUGCUUCAAAAUUAGCUUUUACGCGGCUGCUGUGUUGUGAAAUUGGGUCAGUCUCUGGUGCAAGAUAAGUCCCAUCUAGGCUUUUUCUGUUAAAGACUUGCUGGAAAUUUACAACUAUGCAGGACUGAAGAAGCACGAGGAAGUUAUCCUGCAUGGUAUUGUUACUGUCGGCUGCUGGAUCUUAUGGAAAAGGAGGAAUGACAUUAGGUUUUCUGGCAUUAGGGUCGAUAUUGGUAAAAUCUUUCAAGUUGUUAUGGUGCUUGGUUAUUUUUGGCAUAGGAGUAGAUCUAAAAAUAGAGAAUUGUCUUGGGCUAACUGCUGCUCUUUUCAAAUGUUUUAAAGACCUGUGCGGCUGUUGUGUUUUGUUGCUGCCCCUGUGUUGGGGUGGUGUUGUUUAUAAAAGUUUACUUUCAAAAAAAAGGAUGCUUCUUGAUCUAGAGUUAGUUCUAGAAGACGGCACUUAAGAUCAUGCUCGCAAAACGGAUAUCUAUAAAUUAUCAUCAUUUUAAGAUUGUAAAUGAAAGAUUUCAUUACCUUGCUGUAUUUGUGGCAGUGGCUGCAAAAUGUUUAUAAUUCUUGCCUCCAUAUCAUACUGGUUCCCCGUUAUUAUCUUACUGUAAAUUCAUGUGUAUGUAUGCAGUAAAUUCAUUUUGUGGCCUUACUUUUAGAAGGAAUCAAUUGAAAUAUCUGCACAAAUUUGAAUGCUACUGGUUACUUGUAUAUUGAUAAUAUGCUUGUGAAGCUUUUUACUCAAGGAAAAUGAAUGCUAAGAAGCAGAGAUAUUUAUAAGUUGGUAUUUAAUUCUUAUUGUUUGUUACAGAUUAGGCGCCAUUUUCUUAUCAUUUAUUAUUUCUAUCUAUGUUCACUAUUAUCUAAACUUUGCUUAGGAUGUUAUAUACAUCAGUAGUUCAUGGUUAAACAUUGUCAUUUGAAAUUUUCUAAAUGGUAUGCUUUGUUUGCUGUUCUUAGACUGCAUCUUUCCUGAAUUAAUACCCUAAAACAAGUCAUUAAGGAUUUGGUUUUGUUUUUGGUGAUGAUGGAAAAGAGAUUUAGAACUCUAUUACGCAAGUAGCUAAGUUGGUUAAUUUGCUUGAUAAAGCGGCUCUUGUGAAGCGAGGUAUAACCAUCUUACAGAACGACUAGAACAUGAGAAAUUGCGGGCUCCUCUCACUUUGUAUCUUGAAGAACAGAGAUAAUGUCGGGUCGUUGAAGCAUGUAGUGAAAGAAAAGCCAAAAAUGGACGAACUUGAAAAAGAACUAUCACAAUUAGUGAGCCUACAUGAGCUUAAAUUACAGCUCAAGAAAUGGGCGAAACGAAUGGUGUUAGAUGAGAGGCGUAGGGCCCUUCGUUUAAGAGUCGAGUCAUGCAGACUGCCUCAUAUGGCUUUUCUUGGUAAUCCAGGAACAGAAGCGGAACCAUGGCAAAGAGACGUCAAAUGGCCGUUACUUCGACAUGGGUUUGAUCAUCAACAACUCUUGGAAGGCCCAUUUUUUGGUAAAUCUGAUCACAAGUGCUAUUAUGGUCCUAUGGCGUUUACUUGCUGGUAUGAUAAAAAAGAAAGCGGGUUUCGACUUAUGGGGUUGGGGUCACUACGAUGAGGAUGAAAUUAAGGUUCAGAAAAGCUACAUGGGCCCGAAGUAUAUCAACUAUGGUCACGAUUAUAGGGGUUCGGGGUACAAGGGUUACUUAUCUUAUGAUGUAAUUCAUUGCACCAUGAUUCGGUUGAAUUUUUGUAAUAGCAAACUUGGCUAUAUUACCAAAUGUAUGUAUAGAACUCGUAGGGCCCACAUAUAUUC